rnacentral:rRNA from 1 species
UACGUAGGGUGCGAGCGUUAAUCGGAAUUACUGGGCGUAAAGCGUGCGCAGGCGGUUUUGUAAGCCAGAUGUGAAAUCCCCGGGCUUAACCUGGGAAUGGCAUUUGGGACUGCAAGGCUGGAGUGCGGCAGAGGAGACUGGAAUUCCUGGUGUAGCAGUGAAAUGCGUAGAUAUCAGGAGGAAUACCGAUGGCGAAGGCAGGUCUCUGGGCUGACACUGACGCUCAUGCACGAAAGCGUAGG